GACUCCUCUCCCAGGAGGCAGGCUCACCACUGCGCUUUUUCCUUUGGCUGCGCCGGGACCCCACGUGCGGGAGAAACCCUGCAGGGAUCCAGCCCGUAGCCAAGCCACACUUUGGCGCCCCUGUACCCUUUGGCAUCGGGAGAGAACUGACUUCGGAGGGAAGUACUGAGGGCCAGGGUUGCUGUCACGGGCUCCAGAAUCGUUUGUGCUGGGGAGCGAUCGACUUUUUUGAGCGUCACCUCGCUCCGGCUCUCGGGAGAUCGGUAUCUAGCAGAAAAGAGAUGUGGCUGAAACGUGAGCAUCAGCUUCAGAGGCUCUUUUGUAAGCUCUCUGUCCUCCCGUGACUGGGCCCUUGACUCACGCUGCGAGGGUUAUACACAGGCACCGACGCACUGACCUUCGUGGAUAAAUUCAUCUGCCCCUGUCAGCAACCAGAUCAAAGAAGAGGCUUUGGAGAGGACAGUCCUGGCCUCACCGUUUGUGAGCUGUGUGUCCUCCUACUGCAUAUGCCUUUCCCUCCCUGAGCUGCAGUGGCCUCAUCUGUAAAACCAGGUCAUAAAGCUCACUCCAUAGGCUGUUUUGAAGAUGACAAGAGAUGAUUCCUAGAAUGUGCUGGAGAAAUGGCAUGCCCUGUUCCUAGUCCUGACCCCCACUCCACCCCUACCCACCAUGGGUCGUUUUUUCAACAGUGAGUGAAACCACACUCCUCAAUGUAUACACUCUCUUUGGUGACACCUUCGAAGACAGCCAAUCAAAGAUCACUGGCGAAACUGACAUCGAGUGCCCUAGCCCCCAGAAAGAUGGCAUCUAGGAUCUUUUCCUCCACAUCAACAGCCUCUGAAUAAAGCUGCAAAGUAUGUUUCUCAUGCUU